rnacentral:rRNA from 1 species
AACGAACGCUGGCGGCAUGCCUAACACAUGCAAGUCGAACGAACCCUUCGGGGUUAGUGGCGCACGGGUGCGUAACGCGUGGGAAUCUGCCCUUUGCUUCGGAAUAACUCAGGGAAACUUGUGCUAAUACCGGAUGAUGUCUUCGGACCAAAGAUUUAUCGGCAAGGGAUGAGGCCGCGUAGGAUUAGGUAGUUGGUGGGGUAACGGCCUACCAAGCAGACGAUCCUUAGCUGGUCUGGGAGGAUGAUCAGCCACACUGGGACUGAGACACGGCCCAGACUCGGACGGGAGGCGGCAGUAGGGAAUAUUAGACAAUGGGCGCAAGCCUGAUACAGCAAUGCCGCGGGAGUGAUGAAGGGCGUCGGGUCGUAAAGCCCUUUUACCAGGGAUGAUAAUGACAGUACCUGGUAAAUAAGCUCCGGCUAACUACGUG